rfam:Acidovorax sp. 65-7 SCNpilot_expt_1000_bf_scaffold_2943, whole genome shotgun sequence.
GGGUGUCGGCGCCAUGGUGGCCCGGCAGGUUCAUGCGCUGGUCGGGCCGCCGCG